CCUACGGGUGGCAGCAGUGGGGAAUAUUGCACAAUGGGCGGAACCCUGAUGCAGCAAUGCCGCGUGGGUGAAGAAGCACUCCGGUGCGUAAAGCCCUGUCAGCAGGGAAGAAAAUGACAGUAACUGGCCAAGAAGCUCUGGCCAACUACGUGCCAGCAGCCGCGGUAAUACGUAGGGGGCAAGCGUUAUCCGGAUUUACUGGGUGUAACGGGAGCGCAGGCGGGGUGGCAAGUCAGAUGUGAAAACCCGGGGCUCAACCCCGGGAGUGCAUUUGAAACUGCCAUGCUGGAGUGCCGUAGAGGUAAGCGGAAUUCCUAGUGUAGCGGUGAAAUGCGUAGAGAUUAGGAGGAACACCAGUGGCGGAGGCGACUUACUGGACGGUAACUGACGCUGAGGCUCGAAAGCGUGGGGAGCAAACAGGAUUAGAUACCCGUGUAGUC
rnacentral:rRNA from 1 species